rnacentral:rRNA from 1 species
AGUCAUAUGCUUGUCUCAAAGAUUAAGCCAUGCAUGUCUAAGUAUAAGCAAUUAUACAGCGAAACUGCGAAUGGCUCAUUAUAUAAGUUAUCGUUUAUUUGAUAGUGCCUUACUACUUGGAUAACCGUGGUAAUUCUAGAGCUAAUACAUGCUAAAAACCCCGACUUCGGAAGGGGUGUAUUUAUUAGAUACAAAACCAAUGCCCUUCGGGGCUCUUUGGUGAUUCAUGAUAACUAUACGAAUCGCACGGCCUUGCGCCGGCGAUGGUUCAUUCAAAUUUCUUCCCUAUCAACUUUCGAUGUUUGGGUAUUGGCCAAACAUGGUUGCAACGGGUAACGGAGGGUUAGGGCUCGACCCCGGAGAAGGAGCCUGAGAAACGGCUACUACAUCCAAGGAAGGCAGCAGGCGCGCAAAUUACCCAAUCCCGACUCGGGGAGGUAGUGACAAUAAAUACUGAUACAGGGCCCUUUCGGGCCUUGUAAUUGGAAUGAGUACAAUUUAAAUCCCUUAACGAGGAACAAUU